rfam:Mycobacterium celatum strain DSM 44243 contig_40, whole genome shotgun sequence.
GGCGGUCUUCGGUAGUGGCGGCCGGGGCUUUCUCCGGCCGCUUCGAUCGACGGCCGUA